UACGUAGGGUGCGAGCGUUGUCCGGAAUUAUUGGGCGUAAAGCGCGUGUAGGCGGCUUUGCAAGUCGGGUGUGAAAGCCCUCAGCUUAACUGAGGAAGUGCGCCCGAAACUGCAGAGCUUGAGUACCGGAGAGGAUGGCGGAAUUCCCCAAGUAGAGGUGAAAUUCGUAGAUAUGGGGAGGAACACCGGUGGCGAAGGCGGCCAUCUGGACGGAUACUGACGCUGAGGCGCGAAAGCGUGGGGAGCAAACAGG
rnacentral:rRNA from 1 species